GCCUGGUUGGCUCAGUUGGUGAAGCAUCUGCCUUCGGCUCAGGUCAUGAUCCCAGAGUCCUGGGAUCAAGUCCCACAUUGGGCA
rnacentral:tRNA from 1 species